CCUACGGGAGGCAGCAGUGAGGAAUAUUGGUCAAUGGACGAGAGUCUGAACCAGCCAAGUAGCGUGAAGGAUGACUGCCCUAUGGGUUGUAAACUUCUUUUAUAAGGGAAUAAAACGAGGCACGUGUGCCUUUUUGCAUGUACUUUAUGAACAAGGAUCGGCUAACUCCGUGCCAGCAGCCGCGGUAAUACGGAGGAUCCGAGCGUUAUCCGGAUUUAUUGGGUUGAAAGGGAGCGUAGAUGGGUUGUUAAGUCAGUUGUGAAAGUUUGGGGCUCAACCGGAAAAUUGCAAUUGAUACUGGCAGUCUUGAGUACAGGUGAGGUAAGCGGAAUUCGUGGUGUAGCAGUGAAAUGCUUAGAUAUCACGAAGAACCCCGAUUGCGAAGGCAGCUUACUAAACUGUGACUGACAUUGAUGCUCGAAAGUGUGGGUAUCAAACAGGAUUAGAUACCCCAGUAGUC
rnacentral:rRNA from 1 species